rnacentral:misc_RNA from 1 species
UCGUUAUCUUCCUAAUCCUCAUCGUCAACGCGAUCGUCGGCGUCUGGCAGGAAUCCAAUGCCGAAAAAGCUCUAGAAGCGCUCAAAGAAAUCCAGUCCGAGCACGCCUCCGUCCGCCGCGACGGCGUCUCCAUCCCCAACCUCCCGGCGAAGGAACUCGUCCCCGGCGACAUCGUCGAGCUCCGCGUCGGCGAUAAAGUCCCCGCCGACAUGCGCAUCCUCUACCUAAUCAGCUCGACGCUCCGCGUCGAGCAAGGCUCCCUCACCGGCGAGAGCGCCGCCGUCAACAAAACGAACCGCAGAGUCCCCGCCGAUGACACCGACAUCCAGG